UACGUAGGGGGCAAGCGUUGUCCGGAAUCAUUGGGCGUAAAGCGCGUGUAGGCGGCUCGAUAAGUCUGCUGUGAAAGUCCAGGGCUCAACCCUGGAAUGCCGGUGGAAACUGUCGAGCUAGAGUCCGGAAGAGGCGAGUGGAAUUCCUGGUGUAGCGGUGAAAUGCGUAGAUAUCAGGAGGAACACCUGUGGUGUAGACAGCUUACUGGACCACUUCUGACGCUGAGACACGAAAGCGUGGGUAGCAAGCAGG
rnacentral:rRNA from 1 species